AUGAUGUCUGUAGCUCCGUUGCUGUUUAGAGAUGUUAUGAAGAUUUAUUAAAUAAAGAACAUCAAGCUGGACGGUUCCUUUUACUCCCCUUGAGUUAAUGCGGCCAAUGAGGGGCAGGAUGUGCAUCUUCCCAGUCAGGCUGUCUUUGACGGAGGCCACGAUUAGACAGGUGCCACAGAGGAUGACCUGCCGCUCCGCCCACUUGUGCAGCUGCGACUUGCCCUUCCUGACGCUGAAUACGCCUUUCAGCAGGGUCCGCUCCUGCUGGUCUGCAUUCACUGGACGCUCUGGAUGAAAAAAGCCCACACACCGAGAUCGACUCGGAUCUGUGACAUCAACAUGUCAGUCAACACAUCAGAGCUAAGGUG